GGCCUCCCUCUGUGGGGCGAUCAAUUGCAGGGCCCCCAGAUUGAUCACUCUGCAGAGGGAGGCC
rnacentral:pre_miRNA from 1 species